rnacentral:tRNA from 1 species
UCUAAUAUGGCAGAUUAGUGCAUUGAAUUUAAGCUUCAAGUAUAAAGUAUUUCUUUUGUUAGAA